rnacentral:rRNA from 1 species
AUCUCUGUAGAGUCUGCAUAUCAAUAAGCGGAGGAAAAGAAACUAACAAGGAUUCCCUUAGUAACGGCGAGUGAAGCGGGAAGAGCUCAAAUUUGAAAUCUUCAAGGUUCUACCUUGACGAAUUGUAGUUUAAAGAAGUGUUUUCUGUUAGAUGAGUAGCAAAAGUUCCUUGGAAUGGGACAUCAUAGAGGGUGAGAAUCCCGUAUUUGGUUAUUCAUUCUAGCUUUGUGAUACACUUUCAAAGAGUCGGAUUGUUUGGGAAUGCAGUCCAAAAUGGGUGGUAAAUUUCAUCUAAAGCUAAAUAUUGGCGAGAGACCGAUCAGCGAACAAGUACCGUGAGGGAAAGAUGAAAAGAACUUUGAAAAGAGAGUUAAACAGUACGUGAAAUUGUCAAAAGGGAAGCGUUUGACACCAGUGUUGUUUUUCUCGAAAAUCAAUUACGAAUGGCUUGAUUUUGUGUUGUAUUGACCUUAUCAGCUUUCUGCACUUUUUUCGAGUCCUUUCUUAAUGCACUUUUCGGUUAACAAGUCAACAUCAAUUUCUUUUGUUGUAAAAGAGUCAUUGGAAGGUGGCUUUCACUUCGGUGAAAGUGUUUAUAGCCUUUGGCUUCUGCAAUCGGAGAGAUUGAGGUCUGCAGCGUAGAUCCUUCGGGGCUAGAUACGUAGAUGCUAAGUUAUAGUUUUUUAUAGACAACUUGUUGACUAUAAUUAAUCAUGUAGCUUACUCGUUUGCGCUAUUUUACCUACGCUUAGGAUGUUGACGAGACUGUCGAUCUC